GGUCGGCCUGGGGAGGGGAGGGCCCGGGACUCACCCCGGGGUGGGCACACUAGGGGAGCUCUAGGGGAGGCCCACCUGGGGUAGGCCCACCUGGGAGAGGACCCCCUGGGAGAGGCCCACCCACGAGAGUCCCACGUGGGAGAGUGGAAUUCCACCCGGGAGAGGCCCACCUGGGAGAGGACCCCCUGAGAGAGGACCGCCUGGGAGAGGCCCACCUGGGAGAGUGGAAUUCCACCCGGGAGAGGCCCACCUGGGAGAGGACCCCCUGAGAGAGGACCGCCUGGGAGAGGCCCACCUGGGAGAGUGGAAUUCCACCCAGGAGAGGCCCACCUGGGAGAGAACCCCCUGAGAGAGGACCGCCUGGGAGAGGCCCACCUGGGAGAGUGGAAUUCCACCCGGGAGAGGCCACCAUACCUACAUGGGAUCAAAUAAGCUGCCUGGACAUAGUUUUGAAACCUGAACGUCGUAUGUUUCUCAGGCUCCUAGAGCCCCACCCCGUCUUGAAGUUGGCAGCCUCAGAUCCCUGCUAAAUGACCAUAUUCCUUCCCAAAGACAGUUCUCAGAUGGGCCUUUGUUGGUAAAGACACUCCACACAUGGGUACAGCCUCGAUAAAAUAUUUAUCCCCUCAGAGAAAGUAUAUCCAAACAUAAUGUAGUAAGAGAUUUCCCAAAUCCAAGGGCAUUAAAUAUUAAAACUCAGUUUUCUAGUUACACAUUAGCCUUAAAUAUCAAGAGUGCAACACAAAAUUAUCACAGAACGCAGGAAAAGGAGAUGAGAAAGGCCGCAGAUGGGCAGCCAGGUGGGCCGGGGCACAGGGCAGGGUCGGAAAGGGUCCCCAGCCCAGGAGCUUCUGUGUCCGUGGAGUGGGGGGCACCACCCUCCUGGCCCGUGGAUGUGUUCAGCAACCUGGAACUGCUCGGGACCCAUAGUCCAGGCAUUCUUAUGGAGGCUCCAUCGCAGACAUGAAGGAUGAUGGUGGAUGAUCCCUGGAGGAGGGUGGGUGCAGGGUUGAGAGCUGCAGGUGCUAAUCCUGGCUGGUCUCUCUGGUGACUGGACCCCCUCCAGGAGCCACCAAGCCUCACCUCAUUUGAAUGGAAGAAUCUGCUGCCAUCACCCAGGAAAUUCGAGGGCUUUUGGAGCCCUGUGCGGGGUCUCGGGAGCAGAGACCAGAUCUAUUCAUUUCUCAUUUCAUCACCCCAUCUUGCCAGGUGAAAGCCAGGAAGAUGGGUGAAUUGUUGUUUAAAACAUCUCAGAAUAUAUACAUGAGCAGAAUGAGCAGAACAGAAGUUAAAGAUAGAGCUUCUUCCAGCGCAGAAAUGGCAGUUGCAUCAUACCUGUUUAGCAUCAUGGCUUCCAGCUAACUACCCAUCCAUUCACUGGAAGAUAUUUUUGAAGCCUUGCUGUGUCAUUAGAGCAGAGCCUCGUUCUGAACUCCUGGUCCAGCAGGCCCUGCUGCAGAGGCUGCUGCAGCUCAUGGCACACUUGGACAGCGGCAGCACUCUCUUCUCUGAGGCCUCUCUCUUCAACGUUUUGUAAGACUGUAUUUGCAUGUUUAUUUUUAUGUAAAUGCUGAAACAUCUGGUCUAGUUUAAAAAAUAAACACAAAACACAGCCAAAA